UACGGAGGAUCCAAGCGUUAUCCGGAAUCAUUGGGUUUAAAGGGUCCGUAGGCGGUUUAGUAAGUCAGUGGUGAAAGCCCAUCGCUCAACGGUGGAACGGCCAUUGAUACUGCUAGACUUGAAUUAUUGGGAAGUAACUAGAAUAUGUAGUGUAGCGGUGAAAUGCUUAGAGAUUACAUGGAAUACCAAUUGCGAAGGCAGGUUACUACCAAUAUAUUGACGCUGAUGGACGAAAGCGUGGGGAGCGAACAGG
rnacentral:rRNA from 1 species